UUGGAGGGCAAGUCUGGUGCCAGCAGCCGCGGUAAUUCCAGCUCCAAUAGCGUAUAUUAAAGUUGUUGCCGUUAAAAAGCUCGUAGUUGAACCUUGGGCCUGGCUGAUCUGUCCCCCUAAUCGAGCGCACGGAUUCGGUCGGGCCUUUCCUUCUGGGGANCCGUAUGCCCUUCACUGGGCGUACUGGGGAACCAGGACUUUUACCUUGAAAAAAUUGAGUGUUCAAAGCAGGCCUUUGCUCGAAUACAUUAGCAUGGAAUAAUAGAAUAGGACAGUAGG
rnacentral:rRNA from 1 species